AAGAGACGUAUAAACAACUAGAGCUGCUAACUCAAGUAACUAAGAAUAGAAUUUUUAGGUCUCUUACUUCUAUAGGAAAACAGUAAUCCAUUGGUCUUAGGCACAAAAAAUCU
rnacentral:tRNA from 1 species